GAAUAUUGGUCAAUGGGCGCAAGCCUGAACCAGCCAUGCCGCGUGCAGGAAGACGGUCCUAUGGAUUGUAAACUGCUUUUAUUCGGGAAUAAACCUCCUUACGUGUAGGGAGCUGAAGGUACCGAAUGAAUACGCACCGGCUAACUCCGUGCCAGCAGCCGCGGUAAUACGGAGGGUGCAAGCGUUAUCCGGAAUCAUUGGGUUUAAAGGGUCCGCAGGCGGUCAUAUAAGUCAGUGGUGAAAGCUUACAGCUCAACUGUAGAACUGCCAUUGAUACUGUAUGACUUGAAUUCGAUCGAAGUGGGCGGAAUAUGACAUGUAGCGGUGAAAUGCUUAGAUAUGUCAUAGAACACCGAUAGCGAAGGCAGCUCACUAGGUCUGGAUUGACGCUCAGGGACGAAAGCGUGGGGAGCAAACAGG
rnacentral:rRNA from 1 species